UCGACGGCAGCAUGAUCUAGCUUGCUAGAUUGAUGGCGAGUGGCGAACGGGUGAGUAAUACAUCGGAACGUGCCCUGUAGUGGGGGAUAACUAGUCGAAAGAUUAGCUAAUACCGCAUACGACCUGAGGGUGAAAGUGGGGGACCGCAAGGCCUCAUGCUAUAGGAGCGGCCGAUGUCUGAUUAGCUAGUUGGUGAGGUAAAGGCUCACCAAGGCGACGAUCAGUAGCUGGUCUGAGAGGACGAUCAGCCACACUGGGACUGAGACACGGCCCAGACUCCUACGGGAGGCAGCAGUGGGGAAUUUUGGACAAUGGGGGCAACCCUGAUCCAGCAAUGCCGCGUGUGUGAAGAAGGCCUUCGGGUUGUAAAGCACUUUUGUCCGGAAAGAAAUCGCACUUACUAAUAUUAGGUGUGGAUGACGGUACCGGAAGAAUAAGGACCGGCUAACUACGUGCCAGCAGCCGCGGUAAUACGUAGGGUCCAAGCGUUAAUCGGAAUUACUGGGCGUAAAGCGUGCGCAGGCGGUUGUGCAAGACCGAUGUGAAAUCCCCGGGCUUAACCUGGGAAUUGCAUUGGUGACUGCACGGCUAGAGUGUGUCAGAGGGGGGUAGAAUUCCACGUGU
rnacentral:rRNA from 1 species